rnacentral:lncRNA from 1 species
CUUUAAAGACUAAAGCCAUAAGCUCUCUUAGUAAGCUCAGGCCCAUCUUUAUAUUUCAGUAACUAAAGGCCAACACACACUACCAACAACUAACCCCCAAGGACCAACUCAUGCUCAACAGCCAACUUCCCUGCUCUUCGCAACUCACCAACCAAUUCUCAGCAACUGACUCUCCUGUCUGCAACUAACAGCCUACAACUGACCCUGGCUCAUCAGGGGGCUCCCUGGUUCCUACUUCCUGUCACUGUGGGCUGGUUAAUCCCUACAGAUCUCUAUGGUAACUUUCUACUACCAUCCCUGCAGAAGUGAAGUGGAAGGAGGAGAGACACAGAGGACUCAGUCAUUUUGUAUUUUAAAUUUCUCAGAUAGCUAUGACCAAAAGAUUAAUCACCAAGUGUCCAGGCCACUGAUGUUAAACUUCUUUGUAUUUAGUUUGGUUGUUCUUCAGAAAGCAAACAAUUUGUUGUUAGAAUUAUACCUCCACAAAAUUCUGCUCCUAUAUCACUACCCAGAUGAUUCUGGGUUCUUAAAAUCUCUAUCAAUUGGGCAUAAGCUCUCCUUAGUUAUAUCAUGUUAAGUCCACUUACCAGAAAUUAUUUUGUGAUAUUUUCUGUGGUUAUGUCUUAUUGCCCCUUUGAACCCCCAAGUUCUAUGAUGACAGGGAUCUGAUAAAAUUUUUUUAUGUCUCUGAAUACUUAGUAUUAUGCCCUGCCCAUUGAAGGCACUUAAUAAUUAUUUGCUAUUUUGUUUUCAUAUUAUGUUGUUUUGUUAUGAUGAUUUAUUUUUA